CAAUAGCGUAUAUUAAAGUUGUUGCAGUUAAAAAGCUCGUAGUCUGACCCUUGGCGGGCGCUGAGCGUCCGUGGCGUAAGUCACGCGCACGCGAUACGCGCUCUUGCCAUUGUACUCCAGAGGAACGCGUUUGCUUUUCAUUAAGCGGGCGGUGGGAUUCUGGUAGUUUACUUUGAGAAAAAUAGAGUGUUCAAAGCAGGCGACUCGCCUUGAAUACGUUAGCAUGGGAUAAUGAAGUAGGACAUUGGUUUUCCUAUUUUGAUGGUUUAAGGACCGAUGUAAUGAUUANUAGGGACAGUUGGGGACAUUCAUAUUCCAUGGCUAGAGGUGAAAUUCUUGGAUUCAUGGAAGAUGAACUACUGCGAANGNAUUUGUNAAAGAUGUUUNCAUUG
rnacentral:rRNA from 1 species